AUUGAACGCUGGCGGCAGGCUUAACACAUGCAAGUCGAGCGGGGGAAGGUAGCUUGCUACUGGACCUAGCGGCGGACGGGUGAGUAAUGCUUAGGAAUCUGCCUAUUAGUGGGGGACAACAUCUCGAAAGGGAUGCUAGUACCGCAUACGUCCUACGGGAGAAAGCAGGGGAUCUGCGGACCUUGCGCUAAUAGAUGAGCCUAAGUCGGAUUAGCUAGUUGGUGGGGUAAAGGCCUACCAAGGCGACGAUCUGUAGCGGGUCUGAGAGGAUGAUCCGCCACACUGGGACUGAGACACGGCCCAGACUCCUACGGGAGGCAGCAGUGGGGAAUAUUGGACAGUGGGGGGAACCCUGAUCCAGCCAUGCCGCGUGUGUGAAGAAGGCCUUAUGGUUGUAAAGCACUUUAAGCGAGGAGGAGGCUACUCUAGUUAAUACCUAGGGAUAGUGGACGUUACUCGCAGAAUAAGCACCGGCUAACUCUGUGCCAGCAGCCGCCGUAA
rnacentral:rRNA from 1 species